rnacentral:lncRNA from 1 species
ACGAGAUCUGGGAGAAUUCUCUGGAUUACCAGGCAGAGACUCUUGUUCUUUUCCCUUACUUUCUCCAAAACAUACAGACUCUCUCUGUCUCUCUGUUCUAGCCAUCUAAAGCUGGGGCUGGAGUCACACAAGCACCCCUGUGGUUACCAACACUGUGACUGCACUGGGUCAGACCUGAAGCCAACGCAGCACUGGAUCUCACCCAAGGCCUGCUGUAACCACUCCCUGGCUACUGCCUAUGUUUGCUCAAGGCCCUGGGGCUCUACAAUCAGCAGGUGGCAAAGUCAGCCAAGCCUGUGUCCUUCCCUUCAGGGCAACACAGUCCCCCGAGCCCCAGUUUUAGGGUACAUGUGCACAAUGUGCAGGUUUACUGCAGCGCUAUUCACAAUAGCAAAGACUUGGGACCAAGCCAAAUGUCCAACAAUGAUAGACUGGAUUAAGAAAAUGUGGCACAUAUACACCAUGGAAUACUAUGCAGCAUCCUUUGACUUUUCUAAACUACUUAUUAGUUCUUUUUUUAUGGAUUCCUUGGAAUUUUCUACAUACAGGGUCAUGUAAUCUGCAAAUAAAUACAUUUUUACUUUUUUCUUUUCAAUCUGGAUGCAUUUUAUUUAUUUACGUACUUACUACACUGGCAAGAACUUCCAAUUAAAUGUUCCUGAAGGACAUUAGAAGUGCUAUUCCAGUGAAUACAUGAAAAAUAAGAAACAGUCUUAUUGCUGAUAUGGAGAAAGUUUUAGUGAUCUGGAUAGAUCAAUAUAGCCACAACAUUAUCUUCAGCCAAAACCCAAUCCAGGGUAAGGCCCUAACUAAAUUCAAUUCCAUGAAGGCUGUGAGAGGUAAGGAAGCUGAACAAGAAAAGUUGGAAGCUAGCAGAGGCUGAUUCAUGAGGUUUAAGGAGAGAAGUCAUUUCCAUAACAUAAAAGUGCAAGGUGAAGCAGCAAGUUCUGAUGGAAGUUGCAGCAAGUUAUCCAGAAGAUCUACCUAAGAUAAUUGAUGAGGGUGGCUAUACUAAACAACAGAAUAUCAGUGUAGAUGAAACAGCUUUCUAUUGGAAGAAGAUGCCAUAUAGGAGUUUCAUAACUAGAGUGGAGAAGUCAAUGCAUGGCUUCAAAGCUUCAAAGGACAGGCUGACUCUCUUAUUAGGGGCUAAUGCAGCUGAUGACUUAAAUUUGAAGCCAGUACUCAUUUAACAUUCCAAAAAUCCCAUGGCCCUCAAAAAUCACCUAAAUCUACCUGUGCUCUAUAAAUGAAACAACAAAGCUUGGAUGAAAGCAUGUCUGUUUACAGCAUGGAUUACUGACUAUUUUAAGCCCACUGUUUGAGACUUGUUGCUCAGAAAAAAGAUUACUUCAAAAUAUUGCUACUCAUUCACAAUGUACCUUUUCACCUAAGAGCUCUGGUGGAGAUAUACAAGGAGGUUAAUGUUUUCAUGACUGCUAUUAUAACAUCCACUCGGCAGCACAUGGAUCAAAGAGUAAUAGCAACUUUCAAGUCUUAUUAUUUAAAAAAUACAUUUCAUAAACCUAUUGCCGCCAUAGAUACUUAUUCAUCUGACGGAUCUGGGCAAAGUAAAUCAAAAACCUCUGGAAAGGAUUCACCAUUCUAGAUGCCAUUAAGAAUAUGAUUCAUGUGAGGAGGUCAAAAUUAUUAACAUUAACAAGAUUUUGGAAGAAGUUGAGUCCAACCUUCAGGGAUGAUUUUAAGGAGCUCAAGAUUUCAGUAGAGGAAGUAACUAUAGAUGUGGUAGAAAUAGCAAGAGAACUAGAAUUAGAAGUGGAGCCUGAACAUGUGACUGCAUCGCUGCAAUCUCAUGAUAAAAAUGCAGCAAAUAGGAGUUGCUUCUUAUGAAUGAGCAAAGAAAGUUGUUUCUUGAGAUGGUACCUAUUCCUGGUGAAGAUGCUGUAAACAUUGUUGAAAUGACAACAAAGAUUUUAGAAUAUUCCAUAAACUUAGUUGAUAAAGCAGUAGCAGGGUUUGAAAAGAUGGACUCCAAUUUUGAAAGAAGUUCCACUGUGAGUAAAAUGCUAUCAAAUAGCUUUGCAUGCUACAGAGAAAUCUUUCAUGAAAGGAAGCGUCCAUCAAUGCUGCAAACUUCCAUUGUUGUCUUCUCUGAAGAAAUUGCCACAGCCACCCAGCCUUCAACAACCACCUCCCUAAUCAGUCAGCAGCCAUCAACAUUGAGGCCAGAUCUUCCUCCAGCAAAAAGAUGACUACUUGCUGAAGGCUCAGAUGAUCCCUACCAUUUUGGGCAAUAAAGUAUUUUUAAAUCAAG